rnacentral:misc_RNA from 1 species
CUGGGUCACAGGGCGCUCCGGCGCCCGUCACCACCCCCUGCUUCCCGCCCCCUUUCGGCGCGACGGGGUCCCCCUACGGGGUCCCCCUGCCGGAGCCCAAACCCUGAACGAACUUGCAGCCUGAGUCGAGAAGCAAAUAAUCA